UACGUAGGGCGCAAGCGUUGUUCGGAAUUACUGGGCGUAAAGAGUGUGUAGGCGGUGCUCUAAGUCUGUUGUGAAAUCUCCCGGCUUAACCGGGAGGGUGCGGCGGAAACUGGAGUGCUUGAGGGUGGGAGAGGUAAGCGGAAUUCCUGGUGUAGCGGUGAAAUGCGUAGAUAUCAGGAGGAACACCUGUGGUGUAGACAGCUUACUGGACCACUUCUGACGCUGAGACACGAAAGCGUGGGUAGCAAACAGG
rnacentral:rRNA from 1 species